UACAACUUUCAGCAACGGAUCUCUUGGCUCUCGCAUCGGAUGAAGAACGCAGCGAAAUGCGAUAAGUAAUGUGAAUCCAGAAUCAGGAAUC
rnacentral:rRNA from 1 species